rnacentral:rRNA from 1 species
AGUGAACGCUGGCGGUAGGCCUAACACAUGCAAGUCGAACGGCAGCACAGGAGAGCUUGCUCUCUGGGUGGCGAGUGGCGGACGGGUGAGGACUACAUCGGAAUCUACUCUGUCGUGGGGGAUAACGUAGGGAAACUUACGCUAAUACCGCAUACGACCUACGGGUGAAAGCAGGGGACCUUCGGGCCUUGCGCGAUUGAAUGAGCCGAUGUCGGAUUAGCUAGUUGGCGGGGUAAAGGCCCACCAAGGCGACGGUCCGUAGCUGGUCUGAGAGGAUGAUCAGCCACACUGGAACUGAGAAACGGUCCAGACUCCUACGGGUGGAAGUAGUGGGGGAGAUUGGAGAAAGGGCGCAAGCCUAAUCCAGCGAUGCCGUGUGAGUGAAGGAGGCCGUCGGGUUGUAAAGCGCUUUUGUUGGGAAAGAAAUGCAGCUGGCUAAUACCCGGUUGGGAUGGCGGUACGCAAAGUAGAAGCACCGGCUAACUUCGUGCCAGCCGCCGCAGUAA